GAGAGCACAGCAUCUGCCUGAGAGGAUGAGGCUGCGAGCAGGGAAGCUUGGCUGCCUGGAAGGUACUGGGGGCGGGGAAGAAAAGCCCCUCGGGGCAGUCACACAGCUGAGGGUGGUUAUGUCACUUUAUUUAGCAAAUGGUCACGCUCUAGGCCCCACAAAACUGCUCCUCCCAUCUCAUCAGAGGGCCUGCCUCAGGCGGAAACUCAGAGG